rnacentral:rRNA from 1 species
GCAGACGGGUGAGUAACGCGUGGGAAUCUACCCAUCCCUACGGGAUAGCUCCGGGAAACUGGAGAUAAUACCGUAUACGUCCUCCGGGAGAAAGAUUUAUCGGGGAUGGAUGAGCCCGCGUUGGAUUAGCUAGUUGGUGGGGUAAUGGCCUACCAAGGCGACGAUCCAUAGCUGGUCUAAGAGGAUGAUCAGCCACAUUGGGACUGAGACACGGCCCAAACUCCUACGGGAGGCAGCAGUGGGGAAUAUUGGACAAUGGGCGCAAGCCUGAUCCAGCCAUGCCGCGUGAGUGAUGAAGGCCCUAGGGUUGUAAAGCUCUUUCAGUGGGGACGAUAAUGACGGUACCCACAGAAGAAGCCCCGGCUAACUUCGUGCCAGCAGCCGCGGUAAUACGAAGGGGGCUAGCGUUGUUCGGAAUUACUGGGCGUAAAGCGCACGUAGGCGGACAUUUAAGUCAGGGGUGAAAUCCCGGGGCUCAACCCCGGAACUGCCUCUGAUACUGGGUGUCUUGAGUGUGGUAGAGGUGAGUGGAAUUGCGAGUGUAGAGGUGAAAUUCGUAGAUAUUCGCAGGAACACCAGUGGCGAAGGCGGCUCACUGG